UACGAACUGUGCAAACGUUAUUCGGAAUCACUGGGCUUAAAGGGUGCGUAGGCGGCUGUCUAAGUAGGGUGUGAAAGCCCCCGGCUCAACCGGGGAAUUGCGCCCUAAACUGGAUGGCUUGAGUGAGGUAGGGGUGUGUGGAACUUCCGGUGGAGCGGUGAAAUGUGUUGAUAUCGGAAGGAACGCCGGUGGCGAAAGCGACACACUGGGUCUCAACUGACGCUGAGGCACGAAAGCCAGGGGAGCAAACGGG
rnacentral:rRNA from 1 species